UACGGAGGAGGCAAGCGUUAUCCGGAAUUAUUGGGCGUAGAGCGUCCGUAGGUGGCUAGUCAAGUCUGCGGUCAAAGACUGGGGCUUAACCCUGGAAAGGCCGUGGAAACUGACGAGCUAGAGUGCAGUAGGGGUAGAGGGAAUUCCCGGUGUAGCGGUGAAAUGCGUAGAGCUCGGGAAGAACAUCGGUGGCGAAAGCGCUCUACUGGACUGCAACUGACACUCAGGGACGAAAGCUAGGGGAGCGAAUGGG
rnacentral:rRNA from 1 species